CAAGACUCCUACGGGAGGCAGCAGUGGGGAAUAUUGGACAAUGGGGGGAACUCUGAUCCAGCGACGCCGCGUGAGUGAAGAAGUAUUUCGGUAUGUAAAGCUCUAUCAGCAGGGAAGAAAAUGACGGUACCUGACUAAGAAGCCCCGGCUAACUACGUGCCAGCAGCCGCGGUAAUACGUAGGGGGCAAGCGUUAUCCGGAUUUACUGGGUGUAAAGGGAGCGUAGACGGCAGCACAAGUCUGGAGUGAAAUCCCGGGGCUUAACCCCGGAACUGCUUUGGAAACUGUGCAGCUCGAGUGCAGGAGAGGUAAGCGGAAUUCCUAGUGUAGCGGUGAAAUGCGUAGAUAUUAGGAGGAACACCAGUGGCGAAGGCGGCUUACUGGACUGUAACUGACGUUGAGGCUCGAAAGCGUGGGGAGCAAACAGGAUUAGAUACCCCCGUA
rnacentral:rRNA from 1 species